rnacentral:rRNA from 1 species
UAGGGAAUCUUCGGCAAUGGGGGGAACCCUGACCGAGCAACGCCGCGUGAGUGAAGAAGGUUUUCGGAUCGUAAAGCUCUGUUGUUAAAGAAGAACGAGUGUGAGAAUGGAAAGUUCAUACUGUGACGGUACUUAACCAGAAAGGGACGGCUAACUACGUGCCAGCAGCCGCGGUAAUACGUAGGUCCCGAGCGUUGUCCGGAUUUAUUGGGCGUAAAGCGAGCGCAGGCGGUUAGAUAAGUCUGAAGUUAAAGGCAGUGGCUCAACCAUUGUAGGCUUUGGAAACUGUUUAACUUGAGUGCAGAAGGGGAGAGUGGAAUUCCAUGUGUAGCGGUGAAAUGCGUAGAUAUAUGGAGGAACACCGGUGGCGAAAGCGGCUCUCUGGUCUGUAACUGACGCUGAGGCUCGAAAGCGUGGGGAGCGAACAGGAUUAGAUACCCUGGUAGUCCACGCCGUAACGAUGAGUGCUAGGUGUUAGGUCCUUUCCGGGACUUAGUGCCGCAGCUAACGCAUUAAGCACUCCGCCUGGGGAGUACGACCGCAAGGUU